rnacentral:tRNA from 1 species
GGGCCGUUAGCUCAGGUGGUAGAGCACCGGAUUUUUAAUCCGGGUGCCGAAGGUUCAACUCCUUCACGGCCCA